AAAAGUAAAAACCACAAGAGAUAAGCCUGAACAGUUCGCAAAACAAGUUUGCUCACAUGUUUACAGCACUCUGAGGCUAAAAAUGUCGUCUACAAUAUACUUUAGAUUAUUUUUGUUGUUAAAUUACAAUAAAAAGAACAUAUUUUUCUUUGUUUAGAAAAAAAAAAGAUACGUCUUUAUGGGAUUAUUUAUAUGUUUAUGAAAAUCUAUACAUAAUAUAUAUAGAUUAACGCAUAUAUUAAAUUUCUCUUUUACAUUAGCAAUAAAAAAAAAUAAAACACAACCUUAUAACAAAAAUAUACAAUUAUAUUAUUGUUUAAUCAGUAUGGGUUCUGACUUUAGAAUCGUUCAGUCAUUAUCCAACAGACGUAGCUUCGCAACACUGGUUUAUCAACCCAAUUGCUGUACCAAUUGUCUGAACCAACUAAUCCUCUCGUACCAAGUUGGAUUACUGUCACAAUACUAUAUAUAUAUAUAAUAAUAUAAUAAUAUUCAUCAGUAGGGUAAAACUAACCUGUCUCACGACGGUCUAAACCCAGCUCACGUUCCCUAUUAGCGGGUGAACAAUCCGACACUUUGAGACUUCUGCGUCCCAAUGAUAGGAAGAGCCGUAAUCGAAAAUACAAAAAGCCACGUUGCUAAUAUCGCUAAGCAGCCACAAACAAGUUAUCCCUGUGGUAACUUUUCAGACACCUUUAUAUGCACAGUAGUAAAUAAUUUUACGUCAUUUUGCAAAUAUAAAGGAUCGAUAGGCCACGUUUUCACGUUUUCUAUUCUUUCUGAAAAUAGAAAUCAAACAAGCUUUUCCCCUUUUAGUCUACAAGAGAUUUCUGUUCUCCUUGAGCUUAUCUUUGGACAUCUGCGUUAUUUUUUAACAGAUGUACCACCUUAGUCAAACUCCCCACCUGACUCUGUCUCCAUAAAAAGUGAUACACAUAAAAUAUAGAAAAUAUAUAUAUAUAUAUAUAUUUAUAUAAUAGUCAUUCACUAGAUAAAUGGAUUAGUAAAAACUUUUUAAAAGUAGUGGUAUUUCACUGACGUAAAAACAUUAUUUCAAUUUCUACUACCACUUAUACUAUACCUCUUAAAUCUUUUUACAAAGUCAGACUAGAGUAAAGCACAACAGGGUCUUCUUUCCCUGCUGAUUUUACCAAGCCCUUUCCCUUGGUUGUGGUUUCGCUAGAUCGCAAGUAGGGACAGUAGGAAUCUCGUUAAUCCAUUCCUGAUGGUCCUUUUUAUCGACCAUACAUUUUUGGCUACCUUAAGAGAGUCAUAAUAGUUACUCCCGCCGUUUACCUGCGCUUAAUUGAAAUUUUCAUCAACUUGACAUUCAAAGCACUGGGCAGAAAUCACAUUGUGUUAAUACCAGUUAUAGCUUUUCACAAUGCUAUGUUUUUAUUAAACAGUCGGAUUCCCCUUGUCCGUUUCAGUUCUGAAUAAACACAGCUAAACAAUAUUACAUAAUUUUUAUUAUAAUAACAAAAUAUAUGUAAUAUCGAAGAGAAAGAGAAAAAAAAAAAUAGAAUAGAAUAGAAUGGAAUAGAAUAGAGUAGAAGAAGAAAUAUAAAACAUUUUAACAUAUUAAAUAUAUAAUUAAUUAAUUAAUCUUAAAAUAUAAGAAAAACUAAUAUAAAUAUAUAAAUAAACAUCUUAACAUUUUUAUUUUCAACCACAAUUCUUUUCAUUUUUUUCUUUUCAUUUUUUUCUUCUCAUUUUGUGUUAUCAGAGCCAAUCCUUUUCCCGAAGUUACGGAUCUAAUUUGCUUACUUCCCUUACCUACGUUUUUCUAUUUAACCAGAGGCUACUAACCUUGGAGACCUGAUGCGGUUAUUGGUACGUUCAUUUUUAUAAUUGUAAUUUAAGAAUAUAAAAAAAAAAAUGGUUAAUGUAAAAACACUAUAAAAAUAUAUGAAAGCAAAAAAAGAAAAAAAAAAUAGAAAAAAAAGCUGAAGGUUAAUAUUUUUUUUUCUUUCCUUUCUUUACUUUUUCUUCUUUCAUACUUUUAUAGUAUUUUAUACAUUCCCAUUUAAUUUAGUGUUCCCUCCUUUUUUCAUGGAUAGUCCAUACAACUUUGGAUAAUUCGUACAACAAACGAAUUACUAUUACUACAAAACAAUUCAUUAAUAUAUAUAUCAUGUGUACCGGUCCACGCAUAUAAUAAAUAAAUUGCUUAUUGUAAAUUCAUCGAACCUUUUCUACAAGUAAAUCGAUUUCGAAGGUUUGAUAUAAAGUUAAAGUGCAAAGAUAACGCACUCCAAGCGUAAGGCCUAUGUUAAGGAGUUCAUUUAUUUAUAUAUAUGUUACCAUCUCUAUUUAUUAGUUCUUAUUACAUAUGGCGCAGGAAUAUCAACCUGCUUCCCUUUCGAGAAGAGAAAAAACACUACUAUACUUUUCAUAUAAUAGGUAACCUCAAUUUAUAACGCUUUUCAGCUAUCUCUUAGGAACGGCUAACUUUUGCUCAAACAUAGUUUACAAAAAACCCUUCUCCACUUCAGUCUUCAAAGUUCUCAUAAGAAUAUUUGCUACUUCCACCAAGAUCUGCACUAGGGAGAUGUUCCACGAAAACUCACGUAUUUCGCUUCAACACAAAACCCCACGAUUUUCUACUCAUAAAAAGAAUCUAAAAAAAUAAAAAAAAUAUUGAAUUUUUUUUUUUUUUUUUUUUUAUGGCUUGGUAUCGGUAAUCCGCUUUAGCGCCAUCCAUUUUCAGGGCGAGUUUAUUAGGUAGGUAAGUUGUUACACACUUCCUAGCGGAUUUCAACUUCUAUGAAUACCGUCCUACUGUAAUCACAAACCAACACCUUUUUAAUGGUAUCUAAUGAGCGGAUAUUUAGGCACCUUAUCCAAGCGUUAGGAGCAUCCCUCAUCGCCAGUUCUGCUUACCAAAAAUGGCCAACUUGGAGUUAUCUUAUUUUUAAAUAUGAAUGAAAAUACAAUAAAGUUAUUUCCUCAUUUUUUUACCUAUUGAAUCUUUCGAUAUAUAUAGGUCAAGGAAUUAUCAUCUCCUUGAAUCCUCUAAUCAUUAUUUCUACCAGGUAAAACUAUAUUAUAAUCAACUCCAGCGAUCCUGAGAGAUCUUUCGAAAAUAACCAGCUAAUAGGCUUUUCGAUUAGUCUUUCGCCCCUAAACGCAAUUGAAAUGAACGAUUUGCACGUCAGUAUCAACUCGAUCCUCCAUCAGAUUUUACUCUGACUUCAAUCUCAUCACGUUUAGUUCAAAGCCUCUCGGGUCCUAACAAGUAUGCUCUUACUCAAUAAAGCAUAAUUGCUCACCGGUAUUGUAUGCAUUUGUGUGGAUUUAUAAAAAAAAUUUAAAACCCCACAAAAUCUACAAUUAAUAAACAUAUAUUUUUGUUACAUUAAUUAUGCGUAGAAAUUUUUAUACUAUGUUUAUUCUUAUCAUAUACACUUGCACAUUUGUUAGACUCCUUGGUCCGUGUUUCAAGACGAGUGGGUUAAAAAAGUACUUUAUAAAAACAUCUUAAUUAUAUUAUUUCGCAUCAUAUACAAUUAAUAUAAUUUUCACAAUCCUCAGUAAAUUAAAUAAAUGUAUCUUUCAUAUUUUUCUUUUUUUUCUCCCUUCAGAAAAGAAAAAAAAAAAAAGAAGCAAGUUAUAUUUUUCCACAUUAGCUUAGAAAAAUAGUCAAUAAGGGAAAAAAAAAAAAAAAAAAAAAAUAAUAAUUAAAAUAAAAAUAAAACAAAAUAAAAAAGCAAAAUAUAAAAGGAAAAAAAUAAAAUGAAAUUAAAUUCAAUUAAUUCUUUUAUUUUAUAUUUUGCUUUUUUUUGUUUCUUUUUGUUUUAUUUUUAUUUUAAUUAUUUUAUUUUAUUUUUUUUAUUUUUUUUUCUUGUUAUUGUGUUUAUUUUUGCUCCACGAUUAUUUAUUUUCAUUCACUCAUGUUUCUUUUAAUAAGAACAUAAUAUUUAUAUAUAUAUAUAUAUAUAUAUAUAGUAUGAAAGACAACUUUUGUAUCAUUUUUAUCUUACCUAAAAAAAAGGAUAAGAAUAAAAAUGAAUAUUAUAACAAAAGCUUCAAAAAAUUUCUUUUUAAAAAAAGAAAAAUUUUGUUUUGAUACUUGAAUAUCUACAUCCUUUUUUAAGGACUCCAUUCUUUAUUGCGCGCACCAAAAUCUCUCAUUUUAACUAUGUUGUUACUUUUUUCCUUUUUUAAUCCGUUCCAUCUUAACGAUUUCAGGUACUAUUUAAUUGCUCAUUCCUGAGUACUAUUUCAUCUUUCCCUCACGGUACUUGUUUACUAUCGGUUUCUUACAAAUAUUUAGCUUUAUGUGAAAUGUAUCACACUAAUUAGUGCUCCAGUCUCAAAGAACACGACUCAAAAACAAAACAUUCCAAUUGAUCAGUUUUAUGAUUAAGAAUACGGGUCUUUCACCCUCUAAGGAGAGACAUUUCUAUCUACUUCUUCUCAUUGUCAUAUUAUAAAAAAGAACUCUUGGAAUGUUUUUCAACUUGACAAUUCCGACAAAUCGCGGGUAGCUAUCUGUCGGAUUUUCCAUGUUGAGCUUUUCUUUGUUCACUCGCCGUUACUAAAAGAAUCAUUGUUAUUUUCUUUUCUUCCGCUUAAUAAUAUGCUUAAGUUCAGCGGAUUUGCUUUCUUAUAUUAAUAAAU
rnacentral:rRNA from 1 species